ACCUGAUGAUGUGGGCAUUUGCGGACCAAGUCCCUAAAGCGCUCCCAAGUCUUGAAAAAGUGUUCCCCAUCCAUGUGUCUGAAACUCAUGAUGGCUCUUCACAGCU